rnacentral:tRNA from 1 species
GGAGAGGUACCCAAGUGGUCCAAGGGGACGGUUUGCUAAAUCGUUAGUGCGGCGUUUUUGCCGCAGCGAGGGUUCGAAUCCCUCCCUCUCCGCCA